GACGGAAGGUGCAAGCGUUGCUCGGAAUUACUGGGCGUAAAGGGUGCGUAGGUGGUUUGAUAAGUUAACUGUGAAAGCCCUGGGCUCAACCUGGGAAUGCCAGUUAAUACUGUUGAGCUAGAGUAUGGGAGAGGAUAGUGGAAUUUCCGGUGUAGCGGUGAAAUGCGUAGAGAUCGGAAGGAACACCAGUGGCGAAGGCGGCUAUCUGGCCUAAUACUGACACUGAAGCACGAAAGCGUGGGGAGCAAACAGG
rnacentral:rRNA from 1 species